UACUGAAACCGCCCAGAGGUAAACGGGUGGAUCCGCAAAGUCGGCCCGCGGAAUUCAGCUCGGCGCGCGGCUCGGGGCUGCUGAGGUUCGGGAUCCCUGGGACCCGUCCUCGGCGUCGCACCGGGCUCCGCCGUGUGCACUUUCCGCGGGCAGAGCGCCACGAUCGGCUUCGGGGCGGUCAGAAGCCCGGGGGGAAGGUAGGCGUGCGCUUUCGUCGGCAUGCGCUGUUACAGACCUCCGUGGUGGACCGUCCUGGGGCCGAGGAACGACCGUCGUCUUUAGGCUGCCCGGUCUUCUCGGGGAGUUCGACUGGCAGGGACUGGCAACAGUGCCUGGCGACCGCUCUCCUGGACGGAUCGGGACCGCCGGGGUG
rnacentral:rRNA from 1 species